GUUCAUUCAGGUGCAUAUAUUGAGUCUGCAAUAACAAAAUGCAUGGGCGAUAAAUCAUCUUCGGGUUUUUAUCCUCAAUAGAAGCGUCCGUUGACAAUGAUAUUCUUCUUUGUGAUGGUUUGUGUGAAGUUGAUACCGUCAAUUUUGUUUGGAUCUACCUCUAUUGAAAGCGCAAGAUUUUACUUUUGAAUCCAGAUGAUCUUGGUUAUAUGAACAAUGAAGUAGCAUCAACAUAAGAUAAGGGCUUGAUAUGCCUGGAGAUAAACAAGAGUUACCAGAUUCGCAUAUGACCCCAUAACUGCAAAGAGAAAUGUUGAGAGACUAGAGUACAAAACACUGUAUGAGGUGAGUUUUCACCUUUAUAAAGUUUGGUUGAGUUGGGUUGGGUUGUAUUUGAUCUUAAUCGGUCCAAUUUAAAAGAUUAAAACUAGCUCAAACGUAUUGAGUAAAAGAAAAGCUCAAAUGGGCUGAAAGUGGCAUCAGAAAUGGGAAAUCGGGAGACACAGUGGCAGAUCUAGGGGGUUCCUAGGUUCCCAGGAACCCCCCGGUUUGGAAAAAAAGUAGUGGAAACCUUGGAUGAUUUAGGAUAAAUUAGUGAGAAUCUACCAAAAGGAUACCCCUGGAAAAUCCGCCACUAGGGAGGCAACAACAACAUGGGGUUGAGACGGUUUUUCAAUCACAAUCAAGCUUCUUCGAGUUCUAUUACCGGAGGGAAACGUGAAAA
rnacentral:lncRNA from 1 species